rnacentral:rRNA from 1 species
CCUACGGGCGGCUGCAGUGGGGAAUAUUGGACAAUGGGGGCAACCCUGAUCCAGCCAUGCCGCGUGUGUGAAGAAGGCCCUCGGGUUGUAAAGCACUUUCAGUGAGGAAGAACGCCUGGUGGUUAAUACCCAUCAGGAAAGACAUCACUCACAGAAGAAGCACCGGCUAACUCCGUGCCAGCAGUCGCGGUAAUACGGAGGGUGCGAGCGUUAAUCGGAAUUACUGGGCGUAAAGCGCGCGUAGGUGGCUUGAUAAGCCGGUUGUGAAAGCCCCGGGCUCAACCUGGGAACGGCAUCCGGAACUGUCAAGCUAGAGUGCAGGAGAGGAAGGUAGAAUUCCCGGUGUAGCGGUGAAAUGCGUAGAGAUCGGGAGGAAUACCAGUGGCGAAGGCGGCCUUCUGGACUGACACUGACACUGAGGUGCGAAAGCGUGGGUAGCAAACAGGAUUAGAUACCCCGGUAGUC